rnacentral:rRNA from 1 species
AUUGAACGCUGGCGGCAUGCUUUACCCAUGCAAGUCGAACGGUAACAGGCCGCAAGGUGCUGACGAGUGGCGAACGGGUGAGUAAUGCACCGGAACGUGCCCAGUCGUGGGGGAUAACGCAGCGAAAGCUGCGCUAAUACCGCAUACGAUCUAUGGAUGAAAGCGGGGGACCGUAAGGCCUCGCGCGAUUGGAGCGGCCGAUGUCAGAUUAGGUAGUUGGUGGGGUAAAGGCUCACCAAGCCAACGAUCUGUAGCUGGUCUGAGAGGACGACCAGACAACCUGGGCCUAGGACACGGCCCAGACUCCUACGGGAGGCAGCAGUGGGGAAUUUUGGACAAUGGGCGCAAGCCUGAUCCAGCAAUGCCGCGUGCAGGAAGAAGGCCUUCGGGUUGUAAACUGCUUUUGUACGGAACGAAACGGUCCUGGUUAAUACCCGGGGCUAAUGACGGUACCGUAAGAAUAAGCACCGGCUAACUACUUGCCAGCAGCCGCCGUAAAAC